rnacentral:rRNA from 1 species
AACGAACGCUGGCGGCGUGCCUAACACAUGCAAGUCGUGCGAGAAAGUUCCUUCGGGAGCGAGUAAAGCGGCGCACGGGUGAGUAACACGUAGGUAACCUGCCCCCCAGUCUGGAACAACUAGAGGAAACUCUAGCUAAUGCCGGAUGAGACCACGAUCCCUUCGGGGGUUGCGGCCAAAGAUGGCCUCUACUUGUAAGCUAUCGCUGAGGGAUGGGCCUGCGGGCCAUUAGCUUGUUGGUGAGGUAGCGGCUCACCAAGGCUGUGAUGGCUAGCUGGUCUGAGAGGAUGACCAGCCACACUGGGACUGAGACACGGCCCAGACUCCUACGGGAGGCAGCAGUGGGGAAUAUUGCGCAAUGGGCGAAAGCCUGACGCAGCGACGCCGCGUGGGUGAUGAAGGCCU